rnacentral:rRNA from 1 species
GUAGGGAAUAUUGGGCAAUGGGCGAAAGCCUGACGGAGCAAUGCCGCGUGAAGGAUGAAGGCCUAUGGGUUGUAAACUUCUUUUCUCAGAAAAGAAUUAUGACGGUAUCUGAGGAAUAAGCAUCGGCUAACUCUGUGCCAGCAGCCGCGGUAAGACAGAGGAUGCAAGCGUUAUCCGGAAUGAUUGGGCGUAAAGCGUCUGUAGGUUGUUUAAAAAGUAUUCUGUCAAAGAUUAGGGCUUAACCCUAGAUAGGCAGAAUAAACUUUUAAGCUAGAGUUUGGUAGAGGCAGAGGGAAUUCCCGGUGGAGCGGUGAAAUGCGUAGAUAUCGGGAGGAACACCAAAGGCGAAGGCACUCUGCUGGGCCAAUACUAACACUGAGAGACGAAAGCGAGGGGAGCAAAUGGGAUUAGAAACCCCUGUAGUCC